UGAAGCAAUCCUACUUUCUCUCAAUCUCCCAGGUAUGUACGUCUCCAUCUCUUCCUUUAACACUAACAAACGACCUGAAGUAAUCCUAUUCUCUGCCCCGCAGCAAAUCUCUCACGCUCUCAUGUCUCUCUUCAUGUUCUGAUGGGAAAGAGAUCCAUGUCUUUCUCAUAUUGGAGGAAGGAAGUUGGAGAUGGACCCCUCUCUCAAUCUCACGUCUCUCUCCUCAAACUCUCUUCUCUCUCUACCUCUCCACAUGGAAAUAGAUCCGUGCCUCUCCCAAAUUGCAAGAAGGAAGUGGGGCAUGAAUCUGCUGCACUGACGGAGCUAAUCACAUUUUUUUUAUCCAUAUCAGGUUUGACUUCUCACACUCAUUUGUUUUUAGUUUGUUUUUGCCAAUUUGUCCACAUGGAAAUAGAUCCGUUCCUCUCUCAAAUUGCAAGAAUGAAGUGGGGCAUGGAUCUGCUGCGCUGACGGAGCUAAUCACAUUAAAAUAUUUUUUUCAUCCAGAUCAGGUUUGUGUUCUCACACUGAUUUAUUUUUUAGUUUGUUUUUGCCAAUUUGGAUUCAAAUUUUUUCAUCGCCCCCUUUGAUCGUGCUAUUAGCGAUUCAGUUUUCUUUUAUUAUGCGGUUGCUUGAAGCAGAUGACAUCGAUGUCAAAACAAAAUCAGUAAUCUAUAUCCCUCCAAAAACAAGAUAUAGAUCUUCAUGUAGCGUAGAGGAGAAAAACAUGUACCAUAUAUGUAGAAAAAGAGACUGUCCAAUGUCAAUACUUCAUGUACGGGUGGAACACUAUUUCCUGUUCUUAACUUAUUAACCCUAACUCAAUCAACGACUCCCUGCUAUGAUUCAGCUUCCCCUCAUAGUUCUGUCAAUCCCUCAACCAAUAGAGGCAGGGUGUGAGGGAUAUGGAGGACAAAGCUAUACUGUGAUUGGUGCAGUCACAUGUGAUGGAUGACGGCUAUGUUGAGCCCCGGAGGGAAGGUACGUAAUCUUGAAGAACAAUGAUCUUGCUAGACAUCGAGCAACAAGACCAAGACCUCGCCACGGUUGAUGACUGCAACAAGGAUAAUUUUGAUCAUGGGCUAGGUUAAACUAAAGGUUUUACGGCUAAGGUAAAUCAACAAUACUAUCUUCCAGAUUUCAUAUUUUUAUUGUCACUAGAUGAAUUUAGGUCUGAUGGGGUCUUCCCGUUUCACAUGUGUGCAUUUAGCUAAAUCGCCAUCCAAUUGCUGCCAUUAAUCACGAAUGGACCUGCAGUCUGAAAGUUCAAGGAUGAUAUGUUUCUAGGGUCAGCAAUAAUUGAAAAAGUUAGUGGUAACAAAGGUAAUACUUGAGAAUUCAUGGAUGAUGUGAUUUCUACUUUCUUAUGAUGCUUUUUUCUCUUUUAUUCUGUUUAGAUCUCAUGAUUUAUUAGUUAUCUUAGUGUCAUGUAAACUACACACUGUUGUAGUACUUGAUUUGGAAACACCAUAAAACAUAUGAUGAACAUGUACAUCUUUGACAAUAUGCGCCAGUGCCUGCAUUUAUUAAUGCUAUAUAUGCACACAUCCAUGUCAGAUCCGGUCAAUAUAAUAUAUAUGUCUUUUACAAUAUAUGUUUCCAAGAGUAAUUUCAAAGUAUAUUUACAUAGUCUUUUUUAUCUCUGUGCAUGGACAAUAUAUAUUAGGACACAUGACACGCUCACUACUGGAAUUCCUUAUUUUGUGGAGUGCCAAACACAAUCGACAAAUGCGGAAAAAAAACUCGGCAUAAUAUUUGCCGAGUGCUGCACUCGAAAACACGACUAUGUUGGGCGCCUGUUGGCAAAUUUAUGUCGUCGGUUUUUCAUUUGUACGGGCACCAAUCGGCACUUACAAAAAUCCUCGCCGGGUGCAGAACAUAGGGACUCGGCAAACAAAUGACAUAGAUGGAAGGACAAGUUACGGCCAUUUUACCGUUUUCCUAAUUGGGCAAAAGUAUGCUCCGGUAGGGCUACCCAGAUGGCACCAUGUGUCAUGUUUGCCGAGAACAAUAUUAGGCAAACAGGUCUUAGACACGACACAGCUAGCCUAAAGAAGGCAACUUUGAUUCUCCAUGUUGGUUGAUUGCUAGCUUGAUGCUAAUAUUUGACGUAUUAACAUUACCUGCAUCGGAUGUUUCUGUAGCGUUCGAGGAUAAGAACAUGGUGUAUAUGGUGCUGAAGGAGCCGUAGGAAUACGCAUCUUGAUGAAAGACAUGGAGAAGAUGAUGUCCAAUGAAGGAAAAUGCAGGGAACUAAAGCAUGAGUAGUUUAGAGUGGUCAAUGCGUGAAUGCAGAUUUAGUUUCAGGAAGAAGUGGAUUCUGAAUAUAACAAGAGGUCAAUGAUGCAAGAACUAGGAUAAGGAGUAAAAUGGUUGCUGGAAGAUAUAUUUGUACAAUAACAGGCACACGCAUGCAGCCGUAAUGUCGACCAAAUUACGUAAGGUAGCAGCCCAAUGAAUUGUACAAAUAUGGAUGCACGCAGGUAGUGAUAGACACUCUAUCAUGUCAGAUCCAGAAUUAAUGUGUGUUGUACAUUAAGUUUUCCAGUCUUUAAAAUGUGUUUUGAUUAGUCCUGAAGCAACCCUUACAUACAUUUGGAGAAGGAUCAGAAAGAAGAGUUUUUCCUUAAUUCUGCAUUAACAUCAUCGUAUGCAAGAUGAGCCAAAUUAAAACUUAUGGCCUUAAUUCCGCAUUACCAUCAUGGUGUGCAAGAUAAGCCAAAUUAAAAGUUACGACCUUAAUUCUCGGCAAGCCUCAAGGUUCAUAAGGUG
rnacentral:lncRNA from 1 species